rnacentral:other from 1 species
GCUAUUCGUCAUUAUCUUAAUUGAUUUAUAAGCAUGGAAAUCCCCUGAGUGAAACAACGAAUUGCUGUGUGUAGUCUUUGCCCGUCUCCUACGAUGGGCUUUUUUUUAA